UUCCAGGCCCGGCUAAUGAGUUAGUGCCCAACCCCACGAGGUCCGGAAGGAAGCAGUGGUAAGUACGAAGCUUGUGUAGCCGGUAGCCUGGAUUUU
rnacentral:SRP_RNA from 1 species